rnacentral:rRNA from 1 species
UACGUAGGGCGCAAGCGUUGUCCGGAAUUAUUGGGCGUAAAGAGCUCGUAGGCGGCUUGUCACGUCGGGUGUGAAAGCCCGGGGCUUAACCCCGGGUCUGCAUUCGAUACGGGCUGGCUAGAGUGUGGUAGGGGAGAUCGGAAUUCCUGGUGUAGCGGUGAAAUGCGCAGAUAUCAGGAGGAACACCGGUGGCGAAGGCGGAUCUCUGGGCCAUUACUGACGCUGAGGAGCGAAAGCGUGGGUAGCGAACAGG